CACCCUGGCCGCGGCCCGCGUUGGAUCGAUGCGUGCAGUCCAUCUGCGUCUCCGUGUGGGGCCGUUCACGGAGCACGCGCGCGAGGAAGGGAUGAGAAGAGCCCGUUCGGCGCAUGACCCCGAUGCAACGGCAGGGCGGCUCGUCCGAGACGACGACGGAUGUAGCUGCAGUGCGACAGAGGUGGAUGAGCUGUGGUUGUGCACGCGCAUAGUUUUUGGUUUGUUUACGGUGGAAUGACCUGCUGAUAGGAAGAAAGCCACUAACGUUUUCUUUACAGGUGGUGGUGCUGUUGCUGUGCGCACACCCCAUUCGGUAUUGAGCGGCACACGUACACGCGGGCUUACUCGCCAUGUCAUGCACGUUUGACGCCCUACACGUAUGUGUAUCCGUGCAUGCCUGUGCACGUGUGCGCUUCAGUGGCGGUGCGGAUGCAUCCGCGCGUGUAGAACACGUGCACGGACACCCUGACGAGGUAUUGGCGUUGUUAUUCGUUUCCCUGUCGUCUUCAUGGUAGUUCUCCUUUGUGCUGCCCCCGUCCCCGUCCUCUCUUGCGCCGGCGUGGCGUUGUGCCUGCCGGCCUAACUCGCCUGCCCAUUAUGAGGCGUCCGCCAGAAACCACAGAAAGCACUAUAGUUUUCGGGGCAGGGAUGCAGACAGUCGCGGCAGCUCCUCCUCCUCCUCCCCCCUUUUUCUCCCGUACUCAUAAGCGCGCUCUCCCGGGGCACUCUCGACUGACAGGCCUCCAUCCGCCCAGAGAGCUCGCACUUAGCUGUCUGCGGGCUCACCCGCUUAUGGCGGCCUCUUCCUCUCGCUCGCCCUCACACGUGCACCCCCCUCCUCUCCCCCUCCCUCUCAUUGCCUUCCAUCCGUGGCCUGCCCACUCGCUUCUCACAUUUCAACGGUAG
rnacentral:misc_RNA from 1 species